UUUUCUUGCAGUAGAUUGACAUUUAAUAUAUAUAUAUAUAAAAAAAGAGAGAGAAAACUUUGAACCAACAUGCUACCUAUGGCACACACUAGAGCAGGUCAGGGGAGAUAAAGUCCAUGCCAACAGCUGAAGGGAAUUAAACAAACACACAUAUGCACGCACCAAUCAUGAACUCAAUCACCAUUGGAAAUAUUGCACACUUUGGCAGGACAUCAUUGAUAAGAUGGUAGCAUUCUAAGAGACUGCUGAUGCAGAGAGACAAGAAAAAUCUAUGAUGCAGAGAGAUGUCAGAAAAAUCUAUGUGGACUGGACAGCUUCAGGUUAACUAUAACUUUAAUUAUGUCAUAAAUCCGGUUACUCUAUUACAUUAGCCAAACAAAUUUUAAACCAGAUACCCCGACAUGUAUGGUUAACUGCAGAGGACAAUUUAAAACACUUAUUGGUCCCAAAACCAACCCAACUCUUGGUACAUGACAUUAGUUUGAGAAGGCAAAAAUGGUUGUUGUCCUGGCCACAUGACACACUUGUUAAUUUUAGUUCAUAGAUAGAAUCAGUUGAGUUUUUACAUCAAGUGCCCAAGGUCCCAAAGGUUUGAAGGGGAACAACUGUUAAAUACUUUUAGUUCAAAGGGAGCUGGUGAGAUGUAUUUUGUACUGAAAAGGAGAGCAAAUAAUUCUCAGAUAGCUAAUAGUUCAGUGUACAUUAUCAAUGUUCAAAGAGAACCUAUGUCACUGUUUACUUGCAGUGCUAGAAUUGCCAACACAUUACAUGGUAUGCUACAUAACAUUAAAAUAGAAUUUAGAUCUUAACAGAUGAAAGAUUUUGUUUCAAUAGUCAGACACCAAACUUGAAGAACAUCUCUGGAGAGAAGUUAAAUCUCAAGUCAGAGUUUAUUGUAAGUAACAGCAGUCACAAAAUUCUAUUUUAAAAAGAAUAACUUCUUUGAAACAGAAUGGUGGAGCUAGUUAACCAGUUGUAUGAACAUAUCCAACCCACUUUUUGUCAAGACUAGGCCAUCUUAGCCUGACUUUUUAGCUAAAGACAGAACAAUCAUCUCCUAACUAAAGUCAUGACCAGAAAUGAGAGCAGGAUCUUAUCAAGGAUUGAAAUGUAUAUUUGUUAGCAUACAACUCAACAUAAAAUGCUAAAAGAUAGCUAGCAAAGGAAAAUACAAGUCUAGUUUCUCUAUUAGUAAAGACACAGGUCUCUUUCGAGACUGCUAGUUAUUACAAAAAUGAUUUUCUCUUAAAUUAUUUACAACGCCUGUACUGUAGGAAAUAAAUAAGUACAAAUGUACAAAGAAGAGACAUUUCAUAGAAACAUUGUUUGUUUGUAAGACAAGAUUAUUAAAUGUUAAAAGUAUGUCUUUGACAACUUUGCUCUGACAUUCUGAUUAGUCAACAAGUAUUUCUUUUUGUCAGGACAGUUCUAUUUGCACAGAGCCACAUAUGUACUCUUCAAGGAAAUACCUACACAUACUUGGAUAAAGCUAACUCCCUUGGCAAGAAGGGAAAGGGGAAGCAUUUUCAGCCUAACCAAUGAACAAAUACAAAUUUGACAUGAAAUAGUAACACAUGCAUACAUUCUUAGUGAAACAUAAUCCCUUAGAAAUAUGUGAACAUACUCAUAGGAAUGAUAUAGAAGCUCACAGUACAAUCUUGUAAAUUGAUAACAUUUUCUUACAUCAAUUAUAGUUAGCAUGAUGGGGUUGAAAACAUUUAGAAAUGGAUUAAUUAGGUCAAAACUAAUGUUGGAGUUUUUAUCUUGAACAGAACAAAUAUCAAUUCUGAAUGAAAACAAGAUUUUAGAGACUUAUAUCAAUAAAAUUCUGACUAACCACACAAUUUUGUUAUAUUUUUAUAUAGGUCUAGCACUACAUUUCGCAUUUUACAUAUUAAAAAUAAAAAAAUCUUUUUUUGAGGCUUUCAUUGUUUGUUUUAUAUGUCCCUUCAGAAUUGAAUAUUAUUUCAUCCUAGCCCAAACCUCUCAAAGGAUGGUGGGGGAUGGCAGUGGGCAGGGUUUAAACCCGGGACCAUCAAGAUGUCAAUCAAAAGCACACACAUCACAACAAGGCAGCCAUCCACUUGGCUUUGAUACUGUCUUAUGUAUGCUUUAAGUGUAAGCUGAACAGCAUUAAAUAGAAGUUGUAAGUAAGAUGUAAAGACUGCAGAGAGUAAGUCAAAGUCUCCGAUGGACAUUUAUGUUGUUAGAAACAAACAAAAAACUGUUGAUAAAACACAGAACACAGAACAAAGCCAGACACCAAUACUUUUGAAACACCAAGAGAACAUACAAUGGAAAAAAGGGAGAAGGGGGAAAUCAGCAACACAGUAAUUGAGAAAACAUUGGAACACUUCAAAGCAGACAUGUACAGAUGAGUAAUGUUUCUGUCACAGAAGUUAUGUAGCCACACACACACACACAAAUGAUAACAUUUACAUCUGUCAAUGCUAUGAGUUUGAUUUACUUAGUAGGAAUGUGUUGGCUAUGGGUGAAUAGAUCUUAGAACUAAGAUCAUGCACAAGUCCUUCUUCUAACAAAACUAUAAUAAAGCACCAAGUUGAUAAAAGUGUAAGUGUUAGUUUGAAGUGGUAAAUGACAUCAGCCUAAGUUAAUGUAAGCUAAACAGCCAAACAUUGCUACCUAGUUUACUUUAACUCACAGCUACCUCAUAUCCUUAAACUGACAAGUUAAAAUCUUGGGUACAUGAAUCAAUCAAUGGUCACAACUAUAAACUUAUUUCAGUUUAUCAAAAUUAUAAACAUAUGUACAAAUUGUAAAGAUUAUUUAUAUAUGUAUAAAAAGUAUAGUGUAAUAUUGAAACCAUAUAUAAUUAUCAAAAAGCAAAAAAAAAAAAAAAAAAAAAAAAAAAAU